rnacentral:rRNA from 1 species
AGCCACAGCCAUAUCACCCUGCAGCCCAAGACUGGUUGCCCACUGAAGCCAAGCAGGGUUGAGCCUGGUCAGUACCUGGAUGGGAGACCUCCUGGGAAAACUAGGUUGCUGUUGGAA